rnacentral:rRNA from 1 species
CAGAGACGNAUGGUUGACUUCGGGAACUCUGAGACAGGNCGCUGCAUGUCUGUCGUCAGCUCGUGUGUGAAAUGUUGGGUUAAGUCCCGGAAACGNAAGGGGCAACCCUUUUCCUUUGUUGCCAGCGGUUCGGCCGGGAACUCAAAGGAGACUGCCAGUGAUAAACUGGAGGAAGGUGGGGAUGACGUCAAGUCAUCAUGGCCCUUACGAGUAGGGCUACACACUGUGCUACAAUGGCGCAUACAAAGAGAAGCUGACCUCGCGAGAGCAAGCGGACCUCAUAAAGUGNGUCGUAGUCCGGAUUGGAGUCUGCAACUCGACUCCAUGAAGUCGGAAUCGCUAGUAAUCGUAGAUCAGAAUGCUACGGUGAAUACGUUCCCGGGUCU